rnacentral:rRNA from 1 species
ACGGGUGAGUAACGCGUGGGCAAUCUGCCCCUAAGUCCGGGAUAACAGAGCGAAAGUUCUGCUAAGACCGGAUAAUCUUCCUCUGCCGCAUGGUGGAGGAAGGAAAGGGAACGCUUAGGGAUGAGCCCGCGUCCCAUUAGCUAGUUGGUGAGGUAACGGCCCACCAAGGCGACGAUGGGUAGCCGGCCUGAGAGGGUGGACGGCCACACUGGGACUGAGACACGGCCCAGACUCCUACGGGAGGCAGCAGUAGGGAAUUUUCGGCAAUGGGCGAAAGCCUGACCGAGCAACGCCGCGUGAGGGAAGAAGGUCUUCGGAUCGUAAACCUUUGUCAUCGAGGACGAUGAUGACGGUACUCGAGGAGGAAGCCCCGGCUAACUACGUGCCAGCAGCCGCGGUAAUACGUAGGGGGCGAGCGUUGUCCGGAAUUACUGGGCGUAAAGGGCGCGUAGGCGGUCUAAUAAGUCAGAUGUGAAACCCCCGGGCUUAACCCUGGGCUUGCAUUUGAAACUGUUGGACUUGAGGACAGGAGAGGAAAGCGGAAUUCCCAGUGUAGCGGUGAAAUGCGUAGA